CUACCAAAACACAUGCAUAAAAUAUAAGUAGAACUAUUUUGCAAACCUGAUACGGAAAUCCAACUCUCCUGCCUUUUUAAACUGUUAGCCUAAUGAUGACUGUAUUAGGCUUACAAUAAAAUGUGUGUCGCAUAUAUGCUAUUAACCGUGCACUCUGUCUGUAUCCGCUCUUUGAGGGAGAGUGCGCUGGUAAAAGGGAGGGAGGGAAUGAGGCAAACAAGAAACAUGUAAUCACCCAAACAACCGUUUUAGUCCUUUCCCCCUGGAUUUGUGUCGUAAGAUAGCCUACAGUAUCUACUUCAAAGGAUACACAGGGGGCCGCGAGACUGUUACAAUGGGACUUGAAGCUUUUGGGAGAAUUGGCACCUGAAUCGGAGAGAGGUUUGUGCAGAGCGUCCCCAUCAAUCACGACAACUGUGUUUCCAAGGUGAUGUUGUUGAGAUUGUAAAUAAGAAGAGGCAGACGUCACAGAACCUGAAGGAUAUGGGACACAGACAGCAAACGUAUAAUUACAGCUGUAUCGUACGAAGACAAUGACCCAACACACCUCCAUGCUGUGUAAGGGCUAUUUGACCAAAAAGAAGAGUGAUGGAGUGCUGCAUCAGAUGACCUGACCUCAACAAUCAGCCGAACUCAACUUAGUUGAGAUGGUUUGGGAUGAGUUGGACCGCAGAGUGAAGGAAAAGCAGCCAACAAGUGUUCAGCAUAUGUGGGAACUCCUUCAAGACUGCUAGUAAAGCAUUCCAGGUGAAGCUGGUUGAGAGAAUGCCAAGAGUGUGCUAAGCUGUCAUCAAGGCAAAUGGUGGCUACUUUGAAGAAUCUAAAAGCUAAAAUAUAUUUUUUAUUUGUUAAACACUUUUUUUUGCAUACUAUACGUGUUAUUUCAUAGUUUGGAUGUCUUCACUAUUAUUCUACAAUGUAAAUAAAGAAAAUCCCUUGAUUGAUUAGGUGUGUCCAAACUUUUGACUGGUACUGUAAGUAUUCAGACCUUCCCUAAGACUCGAAAUUGAUCUCAGGUGCAUCCUGUUUCCAUUGAUCAUCCUUGAGAUGUUUCUACAACUUUAUUAGAGUCCACAUGUAGUAAAUUCUUGAUUGAACAUGAUUUGGAAAGGCACACACCUAUAAGGUCCAACAGAGGACAGUACAUGUCAGAGCAAAAACCAAGCCAUGAGGUCGAAGGAAUUGUCCGUAGAGCUCCGAGACAGGAUUGUGUAGAGGCACAGGUCUGGGGAAGGGUACAACAACAUUUUCGCAGCAUUGAAGGUCCCAAAGAUCACAGUGGCGUCCAUCAUUCUUAAAUGGAAGAAGUUUGGAACCACCAAAACUCUUCCUAGAGCUGGCCGCCUGGUCAAACUGAGCAAUCCUCCCUGGCGAUGGUCACUCUGACAAAACUCCAGAGUUCCUCUGUGGAGAUGAGAGAAUCUACCAGAAGGACAACCAUCUCUGCAGCACUCCACCAAUCAGAUCUUUAUGGUUGAGUGGCCAGACUUAAGCCACUCUUCAGUAAGAGAAACAUGACAGCCCGCUUGGAGUUUGCCAAAAGGCUCUUAAAGACUCUCAGACCAUGACAAACAAGAUUCCCUGCUGUUGAAAUAAAAAUGUAACUCUUUGGCCUGAAUGCCAAGCGCACCGUCUAGUGGAAACCUGGCACCAUCCCUACGGUGAAGCAUGGUGGUGGAAGCAUCAUGCUGUGGGGAUGUUUUUCAGCGUCAGGGACUGGGAGACUAGUCAGGAUCGAGGGAAAGCUGAACGGAGCAAAGUACAGAGAUAUCCAUAAUGAAAACCUGCUCCAGAGCACUCAGGACCUCAGACUGUGGUGAAGGUUCACCUUCCAACAGGAGUGUCAUCGGGUCAAGUCUCUGAAUGUCCUUGAGUGGCCCAGCCAGAGACCGGACUUGAACCCGGUCAAACAUCUCUGGAGACACCUGAAAAUAGCUGUGCAGCGACACUCCCUAUCCAACGUGACAGAGCUUGAGGGUCUGCAGAGAAGAAUUUGAGAAAUUCCCCAAAUUCAUGUGUGCCAAGCUUGUCGCGUCAUACCCAAGAAGACUCAGACUGCUGUAAUCACUGCCAAAGUACUGAGUAAACGGUCUGAAUAAUUAUGUAAAUAAGAUAUUUCAGUUUAAACAUUUUUAUAUUUUUUUUGCAAAAAAUGUUUAAAAAAAAAUGAUUUUGCUUUGUCAUUAUUGGGUAUUGUGUGUAGAUUGAUGCAGGAAAAAAAACUAUUGAAUCAAUUUUAGAAUAAGGCUGUAACGUAAUACAAUGUGGAAAAAGUGAAGGGGUCUGAAUAUUUUCAAAAUGUACUGUUUGUAGCCCUUUCCUGCAGUCAAUUACCAAAAGUGCCCUCUUUGGCCUCAGGGUGGAAUGUUAAUAAUUUUUUCAUAAUUUCAUAAUUAAUAAAGAAUGUAAAAUAGAAAACUGACAGAAAUCUGGUGUUUCUAUGUCAAAUAGUUGUGUUAUAUUUCAAUGUCCUGUGAUGUAUUGUAUAUAAAGUGUAAUAUUGGGUUUCAAAUUCAAUACAUUCCAACUCUAUAUCUGACAUGGUACAGUUGUCUUAUUUAAGCCCAUAACCAUGUUUUGUUUCAAAGUAGAUUUGUUAAAAACUACCAAGAAUCACUCUGUUUUACCUGAUUUAGCCCAUUUGUCACGUCCUGACCAGUAUAAGGGUUAAUUGUUAUUGUAGUUUGGUCAGGACGUGGCAGAGGGAAUUUGUUUUAUGUGGUUCGGGGUGGUGUUUUAUUUAGUGGGGCAUUUGAUUUGUGUAUUCCGGGGUUUUUGGGCACUGUUUUUGUAUUCAUGUAUUUCUAUGUUUGGUCUGGUGAGUCUGGUUCUAUGUUUGGUUAAUUGGGGUGGGGACUCUCAAUUGAAGGCAGGUGUUGUCUAUUUGCCUUUGAUUGAGAGUCCUAUAUAUUACGGGGUGUUUGUAAUUUGUGGGAGAUUGUUUCUUGUUUAGCGUGAGUAAGCCUUACAAGACUGUUGUGUUGAUCGUGAGUUCGUUGUUUGUUAUUAUGGUGUUCUUUUUUUGAGUUAAAUAAAACAUCAAGAUGAGCAUCCACAUUCCUGCUGCAUUUUGGUCCUCCUUUCCCAACGACAACCAUGACACCAUUGCAGUAAAAGGUUAAAUAACAUUCUACUCUGAAUGUUACUAAAGUUUUCUUGUGGUUUUUACGGAAAGUUUUCUUAACCUUUAAAAUAACAUUCUUAGAAUGUUCUCUGAACGUUACUAACGUCUUAACAUUCUCUGAAAAAUGUGAGAACAUAAAUUUAAAUA
rnacentral:lncRNA from 1 species